CCUACGGGAGGCAGCAGUGGGGAAUAUUGCACAAUGGGCGAAAGCCUGAUGCAGCAACGCCGCGUGAGCGAUGAAGGUCUUCGGAUCGUAAAGCUCUGUCCUCAAGGAAGAAUUUUGACGGUACUUGAGGAGGAAGCCCCGGCUAACUACGUGCCAGCAGCCGCGGUAAUACGUAGGGGGCUAGCGUUAUCCGGAAUUAUUGGGCGUAAAGGGUGCGUAGGCGGUCCUACAAGUCAGAGGUGAAAGGCUACGGCUCAACCGUAGUAAGCCUUUGAAACUGUAGGACUUGAGUGCAGGAGAGGAGAGUGGAAUUCCCAGUGUAGCGGUGAAAUGCGUAGAUAUUGGGAGGAACACCAGUUGCGAAGGCGGCUCUCUGGACUGUAACUGACGCUGAGGCACGAAAGCGUGGGGAGCGAACAGGAUUAGAUACCCUGGUAGUCCACGCCGUAAACGAUGAGUACUAGGUGUCGGGGGUUACCCCCCUCGGUGCCGCAGCUAACGCAUUAAGUACUCCGCCUGGGAAGUACGCUCGCAAGAGUGAAACUCAAAGGAAUUGACGG
rnacentral:rRNA from 1 species